rnacentral:rRNA from 1 species
AGAAUCAACGCUGGCGGCAUGCCUAACACAUGCAAGUCGAGCGAGAAAGGGUAGCAAUACCUGAGUAAAGCGGCGCACGGGUGAGUAACACGUGGAUAACCUGCCUCGAAGUGGGGAAUAACACCGGGAAACCGGUGCUAAUACCGCAUACACUGAUAAGAUCUGUGGAUUUUAUCAGGAAAGGAGCAAUUCGCUUUGAGAGGGGUCCGCGGCUGAUUAGCUAGUUGGUGAGGUAAUGGCUCACCAAGGCAACGAUCAGUAGCCGGUCUGAGAGGACGGUCGGCCACACUGGAACUGAGACACGGUCCAGACUCCUACGGGAGGCAGCAGUGGGGAAUUUUCGCAAUGGGGGAACCCUGACGAAGCAAUGCCGCGUGGGUGAUGAAGUCUCUUGGGACGUAAACCCUUUCGACGGGGACGAAGCCGCAAGGUUGACGGUACCCGUAGAAGAAGCCCGGCUAACUCCGUGCCAGCAGCCGC